GUACACUCCUGCGGGAGGCAGCAGUGGGGAAUUUUGGACAAUGGGCGAAAGCCUGAUCCAGCAAUGCCGCGUGAGUGAAGAAGGCCUUCGGGUUGUAAAGCUCUUUUGUCAGGGAAGAAACGGUGAAAGCUAAUAUCUUUUGCUAAUGACGGUACCUGAAGAAUAAGCACCGGCUAACUACGUGCCAGCAGCCGCGGUAAUACGUAGGGUGCAAGCGUUAAUCGGAAUUACUGGGCGUAAAGCGUGCGCAGGCGGUUUUGUAAGUCUGAUGUGAAAUCCCCGGGCUCAACCUGGGAAUUGCAUUGGAGACUGCAAGGCUAGAAUCCGGCAGAGGGGGGUAGAAUUCCACGUGUAGCAGUGAAAUGCGUAGAUAUGUGGAGGAACACCGAUGGCGAAGGCAGCCCCCUGGGUCAAGAUUGACGCUCAUGCACGAAAGCGUGGGGAGCAAACAGGAUUAGAUACCCUUGUAGUCC
rnacentral:rRNA from 1 species